rnacentral:sRNA from 1 species
CUUGGUCAUUUAGAGGAAGUAAAAGUCGUAACAAGGUUUCCGCAGGUGAACCUGCGGAAGGAUCAUUACCGAGUUAGGGCCCUCCACAGGGCCCGACCUCCCAACCCCUUGUUUAAUCAUACCAUUUGUUGCUUCGGCGGGACGGUCUUCCCAGACCGCCGGAGGGUGCUCACCGCCCCUCUGGAGAGUCUUGCCCGCCGAUGGCCCCCUUCAAAAUCUUGAACCCAACCAUGACGCCUAAAUUGAUUUAUUGUAUAAUGUACAAAAAAUAAAACUUUCAACAACGGAUCUCUUGGUUCUGGCAUCGAUGAAGAACGCAGCGAAAUGCGAUAAGUAAUGCGAAUUGCAGAAUUUCCGUGAGUCGUCGAAUCUUUGAACGCACAUUGCGCCCUUUGGUAUUCCGAAGGGCAUGCCUGUUCGAGCGUCAUUAUCCCCCCUCAAACCUCGGGUUUGGUGUUGGACCGACGUUGGUCGUUACCCCGACCAACUGGUCUCAAAGACAAUGACGGCGUCCGUGGGACCCUCGAUACACCGAGCUUUCUUUUCGAAGCACGUACCGAGUUGCAAGGACCCACGCCCGCCGGUCGCUCUCCCCUUCUCGGAGAAAACGCAAGUUUUUUUCACAAGGUUGACCUCGGAUCAGGUAGGAAUACCCGCUGAACUUAAGCAUAUCAAUAAGCGGAGGAAAAGAAACCAACAGGGAUUGCCUCAGUAACGGCGAGUGAAGCGGCAACAGCUCAAAUUUGAAAUCUGGCCUCACGGUCCGAGUUGUAAUUUGUAGAGGAUGUUUCGGGCACCGCCGCGGUGUAAAUUUCUUGGAACAGAAUGUCAGAGAGGGUGAGAAUCCCGUCUUCGACCGCGGUAGGACCCAUGUGAAACUCCUUCGACGAGUCGAGUUGUUUGGGAAU